UACGUAGGGGGCAAGCGUUGUCCGGAUUUAUUGGGCGUAAAGAGCGUGUAGGCGGCCAGGUAGGUCAGCUGUGAAAACUCGAGGCUUAACCUCGAGACGCCGGCUGAAACCCUCUGGCUAGAGUCCGGAAGAGGAGAGCGGAAUUCCUGGUGUAGCGGUGAAAUGCGCAGAUAUCAUGUGGAACACCGGUGGCGAAGGCGGUGGUCUGGGCCGGAACUGACGCUGUAGAGCGAAAGCGUGGGGAGCGAACAGG
rnacentral:rRNA from 1 species